AGACAUUGUGUCCUCUGUCCUGCUGUAGAGCUCCCCAACCCAGUUCCCAUCCAGUGCGGAGGAGGACACAUCCAACAAGCCUAAUCAAGCGACCAAACCAAAAGAGUUAUUGAAAAAAGAUGUGGUUAAACUGGAGGACAAGCUCAGGAGAGAAAGACUGAGUCUUAAAGAGCUCAAGGAAAGAAGACAGCAGAAAAGUCAAGAUUCUACACAGGAAUUGAAUUCCAAGUGCUGCGAUGUAAAGAAACCUCAGCCUCAGCCACGCUCUCCCCAAACAUGCGACAAGUCAGAUCUGCCCAGUUCUGUCUUAGUUUCUUCGUCUUCUUCUCCAUGUUCCACAGCCUACAAAGAACCAGAACCUUUGAUUCAGUGUAAUACCAGUCCUACCGGGUUUGUGCCCCAGAAUCCAACUCAACCCACUUAUCCUUCUGGAUCACCUGGAAGGUUCACAGCCAACAAUCCUACAGAGUCUUUCUCACCAACAAGUUCUACACGUGAAAGUUCUAUGAACAAGAAUCCAGCAGGACCUUCUUUUGUGUCCAGUUCUGUUUUCAGAAGUUCUACUACUUCAAAUCCAAGAUCAAAGUUCCCUCUGUCUUACACAUCCCAUUCCACAUUUGUUAGUUCAACCAUACAGAAAACAGCAGACCCAGUCUCCUUCUCCAGGUCCUUGCCUCGUUCCACUGCUAUGCCCUCAACAGGGUCUCGUGAGUCUCACUUUAUUUU
rnacentral:lncRNA from 1 species